UAUUCUUUUAACACAGCUAAAGCUGAUUCUCUAUUCUCUCUAAAUCUACACCAAUACCAACCAAAGAUUGGACAUGGUUAAUCCAUAACGGUGAAGAGUGCUUGGUAUAGGUUUACUCCUUAAUCUUGAACUCCUUUAUUUUAUUUUUAAUAAAUGGCUCGGUUGAGCCACCAAGCACAGAUUUCUUGCAGGGCUCGGAUCGGCCAUGUGCCUCUAUAGUAAAGCUUGUCUGGAUUUGAUUACAGGUCAAGUAGGUCAAUUUGCACGGUCAAACGGUUAUAGCUCACAAGUCAUGGUUGGACCCAGAGACAGAGCCAAUACUUGACGAGGUAGCGCAACCGCCAAUGCUAACUACAUCAAAAUUUACAGGUUGGAUGUCGCUAUUCUUGCAGACUUGCAGUCGCCGUCGAGAAGAUUGAAUCCAGAUGGAUUAGGGAAGGAGGAAAAAGAGAAACCUUUGAACUUGGGCCAUUUUUUAUUUUUUUAAUUUUGGGCCUUUUGUUUUGGGAAUUUUAAUUUUAUUUAUUUAUUAUUUUUUUUUUUAAAUUAGGCCUAUUAAUUUAUCUACGACUACUCUUAAUAAGGUUGAUAUUUUAAGAUGAAACCUCAAAUCUUAACACUCUUGCUGUGCAGCUGAGACAUUGUCGUUGAACCUUCAACCUUGUGAGUUGACUGGGUUUUUUUCUUGAUCAGUGAUUUUAUGUCAUCUUAAUCUUUGCUAGUUUUAACAUUUGUACCCAGUACACCAUUUAACUUUACGUUUUUUUCCUGGUUGAUGUUAGAACUUAGAGGACAAUUUGAGGACAGUGGUGCCACUACAACAAAAUCUACUUUUUCUGGUUGUUGUAGUGUGCAUAAGUUGUGGCCUACUGUCAUCAAGUGGUCGACGUGAUUGUCUAUCGUGGUUGUGUGUGAGCCAUUAAGCCUCUCUCUUUUUUAAGUUAUUUUUUGGAUGCCAUUUUUAUUGGGGAAUGAUCUCAUAAUCUAUGAUUUAUAAUUUAUGUUUUAUGAAUUAUGACGGUGAGCCUGCUGCCUACUGGUGAGGUUUAUGAUUUAUAAAAAGUGGGAAAUUUCAUGUGAAUAUGUGAUAUUUGUG
rnacentral:lncRNA from 1 species